rnacentral:rRNA from 1 species
GAUGAACGCUGGCGGCGUGCCUAAUACAUGCAAGUCGAGCGAACGGACGAGAAGCUUGCUUCUCUGAUGUUAGCGGCGGACGGGUGAGUAACACGUGGAUAACCUACCUAUAAGACUGGGAUAACUUCGGUAAACCGGAGCUAAUACCGGAUAAUAUUUUGAACCGCAUGGUUCAAAAGUGAAAGCCGGUCUUGCUGUCACUUAUAGAUGGAUCCGCGCUGCAUUAGCUAGUUGGUAAGGUAACGGCUUACCAAGGCAACGAUGCAUAGCCGACCUGAGAGGGUGAUCAGCCACACUGGAACUGAGACACGGUCCAGACUCCUACGGGAGGCAGCAGUAGGGAAUCUUCCGCAAUGGGCGAAAGCCUGACGGAGCAACGCCGCGUGAGUGAUGAAGGUCUUCGGAUCGUAAAACUCUGUUAUUAGGGAAGAACAGAUGUGUAAGUAACUGUGCACAUCUUGACGGUACCUAAUCAGAAGGCCACGGCUAACUACGUG